rnacentral:pre_miRNA from 1 species
GCUGCUGUAGGGUAGGAAGGGAGAGGUGUGACUGAAUCAGCUGCUUCCUCUCCCAUCCUCUUCUUGUGCAGAAGC